GUGCCAGCAGCCGCGGUAAGACAGAGGGUGCAAACGUUGUUCGGAAUUACUGGGCGUAAAGCGUGUGUAGGCGGUCUCGAAAGUCGGAUGUGAAAGCCCUGGGCUCAACCCAGGAAGUGCACCCGAAACUGUGAGGCUAGAGUAUCGGAGAGGUUGGUGGAAUUCUCGGUGUAGAGGUGAAAUUCGUAGAUAUCGAGAGGAACACCGGUGGCGAAGGCGGCCAACUGGACGAAUACUGACGCUGAGACACGAAAGCGUGGGGAGCAAACAGGAUUAGAAACCCCAGUAGUCC
rnacentral:rRNA from 1 species